UUGAGGUGCUUUCCUGAUUUGCCGGCCCUGUAUUCCUAGCCUUCCCUCUGACGCUCGCCUUCGGUAUGUCCUUGUCCCUGCAUGUUCAGUGAGGAACCGUAAUUCGCCGCUGACCUCGUCGUUCCUGUGAUAACUGUCUGAUAACUGCCUGAUCACAAAGGUGCUGCUGUUUUGUUUAAACCUGACAAUGCGUGUAUGAUUCAGCAUGCUCGUGACUCUGCUAAACUGUUGUUGUGCAUGUUGGUCUGACCUAUAUCUGAGCUGGGUUUUCGUUUUCUUUGUCGUGUUCUUUUUGUCUGGGCAUUGUACCAUCUUGUCAACUCCAAUGGAGUAAUGCUUCUGUCUAGUGUGUUUUCUGUCUGCAUGUGACUGGGGAUAAGGCUGGUGGCGCUGUAGCUGUCCUGGUGCAUGCUUGUUGUUUGUUCUGGUCUGUAGUUAGUCCCUAUGCAUGAUUGCUAUUACUGUCUGAGUGAUUCGUGCUUAGGAUGGACUGUUGAUAUCCCCUGGUGCAAUAAUUGUUUUCAUUUUAUUUGUUAAGCAGUUGCUAGGUGCUUCCAGAGGGAGGCUAGGCACCUGGUGGUGGGCCCCUGUCACUGUGUAUCAAGCUGGUUAGUGUGCUGUGGGUGUGCCGUGAUUGUGCUGUGUGUGCAGUGUGCUGUGGGUUGCUUGCCGUGUCAUAGUUC